ACGCUGGCGGCGUGCCUAACACAUGCAAGUCGAACGGAGAUUACGGACGGAAGUUUUCGGAUGGAAGACUGUAAUUCUUAGUGGCGGACGGGUGAGUAACGCGUGGGCAACCUGCCCUAUACAGGGGGAUAGCAGCUGGAAACGGCUGGUAAGACCGCAUAAGUCGGCGAAACCGCAUGGUUUUGCCGGGAAAUGAGCAAUCAGGUAUAGGAUGGGCCCGCGUCCGAUUAGCCAGUUGGCAGGGUAAAAGCCUACCAAAGCAACGAUCGGUAGCCGGACUGAGAGGUCGGACGGCCACAUUGGGACUGAGACACGGCCCAAACUCCUACGGGAGGCAGCAGUGGGGGAUAUUGCACAAUGGAGGAAACUCUGAUGCAGCGACGCCGCGUGAGUGAAGAAGUAUUUCGGUAUGUAAAGCUCUAUCAGCAGGGAAGAUGAUGACGGUACCUGACUAAGAAGCCCCGGCUAACUACGUGCCAGCAGCCGCGGUAAUACGUAGGGGGCAAGCGUUAUCCGGAUUUACUGGGUGUAAAGGGAGCGCAGGCGGUUUGGCAAGUUGAGAGUGGAAGCAGGGGGCUCAACCCCCUGACUGCUCCCAAAACUGUUAAACUUGAGUAUGGGAGAGGCAGGCGGAAUUCCUAGUGUAGCGGUGAAAUGCUUAGAUAUUAGGAAGAACACCGGUGGCGAAGGCGGCCUGCUGGACCAAAACUGACGCUGAGGCUCGAAAGCGUGGGUAGCAAACAGGAUUAGAUACCCUGGUAGUCCACGCUGUAAACAAUGAAUACUAGGUGCUGGGAGGCAUAAGCCUUUCGGUGCCGUCGUAAACGCAUUAAGUAUUCCACCUGGGGAGUACGUUCGCAAGAAUGAAACUCAAAGGAAUUGACGGGGACCCGCACAAGCGGUGGAGCAUGUGGUUGAA
rnacentral:rRNA from 1 species